GGGAGAACAAUUAGUGAUCCUAGGAACAGGCUAAAGAGUGACACGGUCGAGGCGCUGAUAUGCCUCCAAGAUUGGCUAAAGGCUGAUGAUCCUAAAACAACCAAUAAAGAUGUUGAGGAGGAAGAAUACUUGGUUUUCUACCAAGAAAGCGAGUGCCAUGAAGAGACUACGCCAACAGAAUUAGCUUGUGGAACUCAACAAACAGGU